rnacentral:rRNA from 1 species
GACGUAGGGCGCGAGCGUUGUCCGGAUUUAUUGGGCGUAAAGAGCUCGUAGGCGGCUUGUUGCGUCGACCGUGAAAACCCGGGGCUCAACUUCGGGCUUGCGGUCGAUACGGGCGGGCUAGAGUCCGGAAGAGGCGAGUGGAAUUCCUGGUGUAGCGGUGAAAUGCGCAGAUAUCAGGAGGAACACCGAUGGCGAAGGCAGCCCCCUGGGUCAAGAUUGACGCUCAUGCACGAAAGCGUGGGGAGCAAACAGG